AUUGAACGCUGGCGGAAUGCUUUACACAUGCAAGUCGAACGGCAGCACGGGAGCUUGCUCCUGGUGGCGAGUGGCGAACGGGUGAGUAAUGCGUCGGAACGUACCGAGUAAUGGGGGAUAACGCACCGAAAGGUGUGCUAAUACCGCAUACGCCCCGAGGGGGAAAGCAGGGGAUCGCAAGACCUUGCGUUAUUCGAGCGGCCGACGUCUGAUUAGCUAGUUGGUGAGGUAAUGGCUCACCAAGGCGACGAUCAGUAGCGGGUCUGAGAGGAUGAUCCGCCACACUGGAACUGAGACACGGUCCAGACUCCUACGGGAGGCAGCAGUGGGGAAUUUUGGACAAUGGGGGCAACCCUGAUCCAGCCAUUCCGCGUGAGUGAAGAAGGCCUUCGGGUUGUAAAGCUCUUUCAGCUGGAACGAAACGGUACGCUCUAACAUAGCGUGCUAAUGACGGUACCAGCAGAAGAAGCACCGGCUAACUACGUG
rnacentral:rRNA from 1 species